GCGCUGCUGAAGAGUCCCAUAAUAGGACGAAACGGCCGUCCAGUGC
rfam:Schistosoma mansoni, Puerto Rico, WGS project CABG01000000 data, contig: 0167